UACGUAGGGCGCAAGCGUUGUCCGGAAUUAUUGGGCGUAAAAGCGCGCGCAGGCGGUCAAUUAAGUCUGGUGUUUUAAGGCUGUGGCUCAACCACAGUUCGCACUGGAAACUGGUUGACUUGAGUACAGAAGAGGAAAGUGGAAUUCCACGUGUAGCGGUGAAAUGCGCAGAUAUCAGGAAGAACACCCCGUGGCGAAGGCGGCUCUCUGGGGACGGUACUGAGCUGAGACGCGAAAAGCCAGGGGGAGCGAACGGGG
rnacentral:rRNA from 1 species